GACGAACGCUGGCGGCGUGCUUAACACAUGCAAGUCGAACGGAAAGGCCCUGCUUUUGUGGGGUGCUCGAGUGGCGAACGGGUGAGUAACACGUGAGUAACCUGCCCUUGACUUUGGGAUAACUUCAGGAAACUGGGGCUAAUACCGGAUAGGAGCUCCUGCUGCAUGGUGGGGGUUGGAAAGUUUCGGCGGUUGGGGCUGGACUCGCGGCUUAUCCGCUUGUUGGUGGGGUAGUGGCUUACCAAGGCUUUGACGGGUAGCCGGCCUGAGAGGGUUACCGGCCACAUUGGGACUGAGAUACGGCGCAGACUCCUACGGGAGGCAGCAGGGGGGAAUAUUGCACAAUGGGCGGAAGCCUGAUGCAGCAACGCCGCGUGCGGGAUGACGGCCUUCGGGUUGUAAACAGAUUUCGCCGGUGACGAAGCGUGAGUGACGGUAAUGGGUAAAGAAGCACCAGCUAACUACGUG
rnacentral:rRNA from 1 species